rnacentral:lncRNA from 1 species
GGUCAGGAGGCUCAUUAUCAGGCGGAAUAUGACGACAACCACUGCUCCACCGGACUCUUUUGACCUGACAUCCAUUGCCCGCUUUUUCUCUCAACUUGCAACGGUGGAGUAUUUCUACGCCAGGAUGGGCAUCACCGUCAUAGCGGCCAUCGUUAAGGUGAAC